UACGUAGGGUGCAAGCGUUUAAUCGGAAUUACUGGGCGUAAAGCGUGCGCAGGCGGUUUUGUAAGUCUGUCGUGAAAUCCCCGGGCUCAACCUGGGAAUUGCGAUGGAGACUGCAAGGCUAGAAUCUGGCAGAGGGGGGGUAGAAUUCCACGUGUAGCAGUGAAAUGCGUAGAGAUGUGGAGGAACACCGAUGGCGAAGGCAGCCCCCUGGGUCAAGAUUGACGCUCAUGCA
rnacentral:rRNA from 1 species